AAGCCAUGGUUCACCUCCCGUCCGUGUUCCGCGUGCUCAUCAAAGACACUUCGGUCGGAGGGUGUCAGUUUUCACAAACUCAGUAUAAAAUCGGUGACCGGCCAGUCAGGAGAAGGAAUAUGAGACGCUUGGAGGCGAGUGUCUACAACCGAGGUUUGAAUUAAAUUUAAUAAGUCAAAACAUUAGCUAAUACGUUUAUCAGGGAUUGUUAGUCUCCGGUACGUGUUUACCGAAAAGAGUGUGUUGUACUGACAUUGACAAGUGACAACACAAACGUGAUGAUGUUGGUUGGUAGCUCAGGAGAAUAUCCGGCAAAAUUUUAUUUCCAUUGAAGCAUAAGGAAUCUUUCGUCAGGCCCAAAUUAAUAUUUAUUGUCAUUGGAGUAAAUAUAGAAUUAAUACUGUGAGAAAAAACGUAGUGGGACUUUUAAAUUAUAUUAUCACGCGGAAACAUUAUUCGUCGAAAAACAUCUGUGCCAAGUGUCACGUCAAAAUAUGCAUAAGUGUUUAGUAUACGUCUGUCUUUUUGAAGUAUUAAAAGUGCAAUCGACGAUUUUUACAAUGAGUGAAAUUAUACAUCAAUGAAGUUCCAUAAAAUUUUGUGUGCGGAAUCAAAUCUCUGGUGCUUAAAUAUUCAGACUAAUGCAAAAGGCUAUUUUGCUAUCGGUGAUAGUUGUAUGUCGCAAGCAAGUGUUUUUGAUUGGUACAAGUUGUUGAAAGAGGUUCGAGAACGCAUUGACGACCAACCACGUCCAGGACAGCCAUCAACAGUUUUCUUUGAUUAUCGAGGUGUAGUGCACUCCGAACUCCUUUCGAUCGGCCAAAUUGUCAACAAGGAAUACUAUUUGAGUGUUAUGCGUCAUUUGCGUGAAGCUAUUCGCAAAAAUAAACUAUGGGCCUAUAACUCUUGAUUUUCCACCACGAUAAUGGACCGUCGAAUACUGCAUUGAUUCUUCGUGAUUUUUUCGCCAAAAACUCAACCAACGCCUGAAUCAGCUCCGUGUGACUUCUGGCUGUUCAGCAAACUCAAACGACUGGUCCGGGGAAACCGUUUUGAUUCAAUUGAAGACAUCGAACGUGAAUCGCUAUGCAGCAUUGAAGGCUAUUGAAGGAUUCGAGGGUUGGAAAAAACGUUGGUACAAGUGUAUUGGGA